ACGAACGCUGGCGGCGUGCUUCACACAUGCAAGUCGAACGGAAAGGCCCCCACUUUUUUGGUGGGGGUGCUCGAGUGGCGAACGGGUGAGUAACACGUGGGUGAUCUGCCCUGUACUUCGGGAUAAGCUUGGGAAACUGGGUCUAAUACCGGAUAGGACCAUGGUUUAGUGUCUCAUGGUGGAAAAAUUAUUGUUUUGGUGCAGGAUGAGCUCGCGGCCUAUCAGCUUGUUGGUGGGGUAAUGGCCUACCAAGGCGUCGACGGGUAGCCGGCCUGAGAGGGUGGACGGCCACAUUGGGACUGAGAUACGGCCCAGACUCCUACGGGAGGCAGCAGUGGGGAAUAUUGCACAAUGGGCGCAAGCCUGAUGCAGCGACGCCGCGUGGGGGAUGACGGCCUUCGGGUUGUAAACUCCUUUCGUUAGGGACGAAGCCGCACCUUUUUUGGGUGUGGUGACGGUACCUUUGUUAAGAAGCACCGGCUAACUACGUG
rnacentral:rRNA from 1 species